GACAACUUUUUGAGUCACAGUGCCAAACUACUGGCAGAAUAUUUUGAUCUUUCUUUUUCAGCGUGAAGGACUGGCAUUUAUUUAAUAGACAGAUGGCACAACCGUGUACUUGGUCAGAGGAUUUAGGAUUUUUUUAAAGAAAGAUAUCUUCAGAAGAAAUUGAUGACCGAUUCCCUGGGCACUGUGAAUCCAUUUAAAAUAAACACUCACAUGCAGAUACAGAAGGUAUGAUAUUGUGCACAGAGGCAAGACAUACAGGAAUAUUUGAAAUGAAAUUUAUAAUAUUUGCAAUGAUGGAUACGAACCAUAUGAAAACCAAGUAGAUGAAACAGUGUGGAACAGUGGCUGGUGACUCAAUAUUCUUGUAAUUUACUGCAUUUGUAAUGAUGAUGAUUUUUCAAAUGAACUUGAACACUCUUUUGUUGGAUUCAUGUUAAAAAUAUGUUCUGCCUGUGAUUGAUGUCACAAAAUAUAUCCAUUAAAUCUGCAUUGCAAAAAUAGAUAAAUAACUAAAUUAAUUUAUUUUAAAAAUCUGAGCAAAUUUAUGAUAUGAAAGGUUUUCCAUGAUUGGAGAUAAUGUGCCACAAACCUUGGCACCAAGGAUUCCAUAUAAUCCGGGGCAUACCCUCCUCCAUCUAUGAACAACAAAACACAGAAUGCGACCAUAUAGGGCCAUGAUCUGUUAAACCAGAAAAGUAUCAGAAGUCCAGAUAAGACUAAUGAGUUCAUUAUCAUGACUUUUUGCAUGGCAUGUGUUUCCAUAUUUUCAUCAUAGGCUGUGGAAUUAUAUCUCGGAGUACUCUGAACAAGCUUUUACAUACAACUAGUUUUAAACAUCCACAAUAGUCCGGGAGUUGUGUAUUAGACCUGUACCUGAGCAUUUUGCUUAGAAAUUAAGCUUAAUUUUCAGACAGUAAUGCUAGUCUGCAAUACAUCUAAUGUAUUAGUGUAUGGAGUUAAGUUUUUUCUUCAUGUGAUGUGUAUGUGAUGUAAAUGUAAUUAACAAAUCUCUACAGCAUGAUGAUUCAUUCAUGAAAUGUGCCUCUGUUGCUAUAAAGUUUCAUUAUAAUGCAAAUUAGUUCCAUCAAUGAAUCAUCAUGCUGUAGAGAUUUGUUAAGUCAAUUACAUCACAUACACAUCAGAGAUUCUUCUGUGUUUUAACUACAACUUCUUAACCAUUAUUUAAGCACUGAGAUGCACUACUCUCUCCUUAAUUCGUUAACAUAAACACAUUUGUAAACAUUCUGGUCAGCAAAACCCCCAGAAAUCACAUGUCUCUCUCACACACAGACAGACAACUGCCAGGAAAGAUCACACAUUCAGAUCAAACAGUG
ensembl:lncRNA